rnacentral:rRNA from 1 species
UUGGAGGGCAAGUCUGGUGCCAGCAGCCGCGGUAAUUCCAGCUCCAAUAGCGUAUAUUAAAGUUGUUGCAGUUAAAAAGCUCGUAGUUGAAUUUCGGGGUCAAUAAGUUGGUCGUGCCAAUGGUAUGUACUGGCUUUAUUGAUUCCUACCUCUUGACGAACUGUGAUGCCAUUAAUUUGGUGUUGCAAGGAAUCAGGACUGUUACCUUGAAAAAAUUAGAGUGUUUAAAGCAGGCUCACGCUUGAAUACAUUAGCAUGGAAUAACGAAAUAGGACGUUUGAUUCUAUUUUGUUGGUUUCUAGGAUCGACGUAAUGAUUAAUAGGGAUAGGUUGGGGGCAUUAGUAUUCAAUUGUCAGAGGUGAAAUUUC